rnacentral:rRNA from 1 species
UACGAAGGGGGCUAGCGUUGCUCGGAAUUACUGGGCGUAAAGCGCACGUAGGCGGCUUUCUAAGUCGGGGGUGAAAUCCUGGAGCUCAACUCCAGAACUGCCUUCGAUACUGGGGAGCUCGAGUCCGGGAGAGGUGAGUGGAACUGCGAGUGUAGAGGUGAAAUUCGUAGAUAUUCGCAAGAACACCAGUGGCGAAGGCGGCUCACUGGCCCGGUACUGACGCUGA